rnacentral:rRNA from 1 species
AGCAGCCGCGGUAAUUCCAGCUCCAAUAGCGUAUAUUAAAGUUGUUGCAGUUAAAAAGCUCGUAGUUGAAUUUCGGGAUCAAAGGAUCGGUCAUGCCUUGGUAUGUACUGGUUUUAUUGGUUCUCACCUUCUAAAGAACCAUAAUGUCAUUCAUUUGAUGUUAUGGGGAAUUAGGACUGUUACCUUGAAAAAAUUAGAGUGUUUAAAGCAGGCUCACGCUUGAAUACAUUAGCAUGGAAUAAUGAAAUAGGACGUUUGAUUCUAUUUUGUCGGUUUCUAGGAUCGACGUAAUGAUUAAUAGGGAUAGUUGGGGCAUUAGUAUUCAAUUGUCGGAGGUGAAAUUCUUGGAUUUAUUGAAGACUAACUACUGCGAAAGCAUUUGCCAAGGAUGUUUUCAUUAAU